AUAUUGCUAAUGUGACAAAAGUCACCAAGUGUCAUCUCAUUCCGAUGAAGCUAAGAUUUUUAAAAUUUCUAAAUAUACAAUUUUUCGGUCAAAAAUGACCGAAGAGGGCCAGAGGGUUAAAGCUAUGAUUACUCCACGGGCGCGUGCACAUAAAAGAGUGACGUCGGCACCGAGCAACCAAUCGCGUUCAAUAUGGAUGAAGCGAGAGCUGUAUGUUUUUCUGCGGAGGAGCAAGAAAUAAUCAUUCAAAAGUAUGAUGAAUAUAAACGUGUUUCAAGCACGCAGUAAUACUGUCUCUGCUGCCAAAGCAAGAGAAGAGUGUUGGAGAAAGAUCGUUAAUGCAUGCAACCCCAACUACAAACGUUCUUGGCAGCAGAUAAAGACAAAAUAUUAAAAUAUCAUUCAAAGUGGUGAGUAUUUACCAUAACCUUUUAUUAUUUUCGUGAACAUUUUCACAACUUUUUUGCAGCAAACAUUCAGAAAACUGGGGGAGGGCCACCUCAGAAUACACUGUGACGGAGGAGCUGGCUCAGAGUAGCAAUAAGGGGCGGCCGAUUGCUGGAUUUUUCACAACCUGCCCCACAAACUGAUGCCUCUACCUCAAUGAGCUUCAGAAGGAAUGUGAACAAGGUGGAAACUGACUCAGUCGGGGCCCUUUACAAAAGGAGCCUAGAAUUGGACUGCACUAAAGGAGCUGGACUGUGAGCUGAGGAGCCUCCAAAUUAAAUUGUAGAUCAAACAGAUCUCACCACAUCAACAAUAAAACCAUUUGAGACCU